rnacentral:rRNA from 1 species
ACUCCUACGGGAGGCAGCAGUGGGGAAUUUUGGACAAUGGGCGAAAGCCUGAUCCAGCAAUGCCGCGUGUGUGAAGAAGGCCUUCGGGUUGUAAAGCACUUUUGUCCGGAAAGAAAUCCUUGGCUCUAAUACAGUCGGGGGAUGACGGUACCGGAAGAAUAAGCACCGGCUAACUACGUGCCAGCAGCCGCGGUAAUACGUAGGGUGCGAGCGUUAAUCGGAAUUACUGGGCGUAAAGCGUGCGCAGGCGGUUUGCUAAGACCGAUGUGAAAUCCCCGGGCUCAACCUGGGAACUGCAUUGGUGACUGGCAGGCUAGAGUAUGGCAGAGGGGGGUAGAAUUCCACGUGUAGCAGUGAAAUGCGUAGAGAUGUGGAGGAAUACCGAUGGCGAAGGCAGCCCCCUGGGCCAAUACUGACGCUCAUGCACGAAAGCGUGGGGAGCAAACAGGAUUAGAAACCCGAGUAGUCC